CGUACCAGGUCAUCUGCAAUUGCAAAAAAAACAUUUAAGAACAGGAGACUUGGUGACCUUUACUAGCUCUUCCUCCGAUAAGGUAGAAACCGAUCUCCUUGCAAAUUAUUAGAUUCCUUCUUUCAUUAUCACGUGUAGAUUGAUCUGUGGUGGCGGUUCUCCAUACAGCAAGUCAAACGUCGAAGGAUGAAAAGUCUAAGGAAAUGGAUUCUCAAUACCCGGAAUUUAGGAGGGACCACUCAUAGCCACAUAUCUUAGCUUGGUUGCGGGGUCGUACUUUCACCUUCGGUAAUUCUGUGAAAGCGUGGAGGUAGUUGUGGAGACUGCUGUUUCACAGAGUGUUCAUAGGCCUCCUUUCUUUUGAGAACAUGCAGCUUAUUAGGUGAUUGAUGCUAAAAGUCAAAAGGAAAGACAAUGUAUACAGAAGACAACGAUGACCACCAAGGAUAGGGUGUUCAUAAAAUUUCAUACUUAGAUCUCAUGUUUUGAGCUGUUGAGUUAAAUCAUGUUGGAUUAGAAGUGCAUAUCUCUGGCCAUCUUAAACAAUGUGAAAUGCAUUGGACAUUUAUGGAUGUAGCUAAAUGAGGAAAACCUGCACAACUGCACGUUAUCUGGAACUGUAGGCAGGAAACUUUCACUGCUCUCCAAUAUUAAUUGUAACUCUUCAAAAUAAUAUUUUUAGAAUAGAGUUUUAUGAAUGUAUCAUGUUAACUCAAUCCUUAAUCGUCCAAAUGAUAGAUGAUGUAAUCUCGAAAUUAGGUGAAUGAUAGGACUUAAAAAGUAAGGUGCAAUCUUGGAAUCAAGUCACUUUGGAGAUACAGAUAAGAUUUUUGUUGAGUUUGAGUGAAUAUUAAAUAUUUAGCAUGUAAAUGUAUAUAUUUAAUGUGCUUAGCCUCU
rnacentral:lncRNA from 1 species